rnacentral:rRNA from 1 species
AUUGAACGCUGGCGGCAGGCCUAACACAUGCAAGUCGAGCGAGCGGCGGACGGGUGAGGAAUGUGUGGGAAACUGGCUGAUGGAGGGGGAGAACGACUGGAAACGGUAGCUAAUACCGCAUACCAUCAGAUGUGCCCAGAUGGGGUUAGCUAGUGGGUGGGGUAACGGCUCACCUAGGCGACGAUCCCUAGCUGGUCUGAGAGGAUGAUCAGCCACACUGGAACUGAGACACGGUCCAGACUCCUACGGGAGGCAGCAGUGGGGAAUAUUGCACAAUGGGCGCAAGCCUGAUGCAGCCAUGCCGCGUGUGUGAAGAAGGCCUUCGGGUUGUAAAGCACUUUCAGCGGGGAGGCGUUACCCGCAGAAGAAGCACCGGCUAACUCCGUGCCAGCAGCCGCGGUAAUUC